rnacentral:rRNA from 1 species
GACGAACGCUGGCGGCGUGCUUAACACAUGCAAGUCGAACGAUGAACCAGGGCUUGCCCUGGGGAUUAGUGGCGAACGGGUGAGUAACACGUGGGCAACCUGCCCCAGACACCGGGAUAACCAUUCGAAAGAGUGGCUAAUACCGGAUACGACCACUUUGGGCAUCCAACGGUGGUGGAAAGGAUUCUGGUCUGGGAUGGGCCCGCGGCCUAUCAGCUUGUUGGUGGGGUAAUGGCCUACCAAGGCGACGACGGGUAGCCGGCCUGAGAGGGCGACCGGCCACACUGGGACUGAGACACGGCCCAGACUCCUACGGGAGGCAGCAGUGGGGAAUAUUGCGCAAUGGGCGAAAGCCUGACGCAGCGACGCCGCGUGAGGGACGAAGGUCUUCGGAUUGUAAACCUCUUUCAGCAGGGACGAAGCGAAAGUGACUGUACCUGCAGAAGAAGCACCGGCUAACUACGUGCCAGCCGCCGCGGUAA